rnacentral:lncRNA from 1 species
AUUGUGUCAGAACAGAUUCGUCCCUUUGUAGGUCAUGUCGUUAGUGGACUGCUCAGAGUUCGGGUGCACAUUCAUGCCUUGCAGUGGGCCACAGACUGGGAAGUCUGUGUGGACCUCAGAGGCCUAGGGACAGGGCGGGGCAGAAGAAACGUUAGGCGGAAAACACAAGAGGCUGAUCUGGUUUGCUCUGCAGUUUCGACCAAGACCACAACUGGUUUUUGGGGUACUGCUCAACACACAGGCCACGUGCUCCAAGAGCGCUGGCAUGAGGUCAACUGAGCUGACGCACAGGUGGUGAGGGACCUAGAGAUCCUCUGAGAGUUCCAUAUCCGGACUUUCAAACCAUGUUCUGGGGUCAUCCAAACAUUCCAUCCUCCUGACUCCAUAAACUACUGGAUUCAUAACCGGCUCCAUACUUGAAAACAUGGGGAUUGGAAUUCGGGCUCUUUGUUCUGGUAAGCAUGUGACUGACUACAGCUGUCAACAUGGGCACCUCCAAAGUUACCUCGCAAAAACAAAGGUGUUUUGCAGUAUCAUGCUUCUUUUACAAUUUCCUGGGUCUCUACUGAAGAAAAGAAAGGUAAGGAAUUACCUACAAACCUGGUGCAAAUAGAAGAUCUGGCACCGCGUUUACGAUUAAUUGUGAGAUAGGUCCCAGGGAAAGAGGAGACAUGUUAAAGAAGGCAAUUAACAUAUGUGGACAGCGGGCCGGGCGCUGCAGCCCGUGCCUGUAAUCCCAGCACAUUGAGAAGCCGAGGUGGGUGGAUCACUUGAGGUCAGGAGUUUGAGACCACCCUGACCAAUAUGGUGAAACCCCGUCUUUACUAAAAAUACAAAAAAUAGCCAGGCAUGGUGGUAUGUACCUAUAAUCCCAGCUACUCAGGAGGCUGAGGCAGGCGUAUCACUUGAAUCCGGGAGGUGGAGGUUGCAGUGAGCCGAGAUUGCACCACAGUACUCCAGUGUGGGUGACAGAGCGAGACUCCGUCUAAAAAACAAAAAAAGAAUGUGGACAAUGAUUCCCAAUUUGGAAAAGAUGGGCCAACAACUCUUUUAGUUUGCCUUUUUCCCCCCUCAAUAUUUUGAGCAUGAAAUAUGUAUGUAACCACAUACAUAUUUCAUAUGUGUUUGGGAGACUAUGUUACCAGUAGUUUCAUCAGGAUAAUUUUAAUUUUCUUUUUUGUGUGUAUUUUUGUAUUUCUCACAUUUUCUACAAUGAAUGUGUAAAUUUUUUAGAAACUU